UACGGAGGGUGCAAGCGUUGUCCGGAUUCAUUGGGUUUAAAGGGUGCGCAGGCGGGCCAUUAAGUCAGGGGUGAAAGACGGUUGCUCGACAAUCGCAGUGCCUUUGAUACUGGUGGUCUUGGGUGACCUUGAGGUAGGCGGAAUGGGUGGUGUAGCGGUGAAAUGCAUAGAUACCACCCAGAACUCCGAUUGCGAAGGCAGCCUACUGGAGGUUAACCGACGCUCAGGCACGAAAGCGUGGGGAUCAAACAGG
rnacentral:rRNA from 1 species